rnacentral:lncRNA from 1 species
AAGCCGGGAAAAUAUAUGCAUUCAAUGAAGGGAAUUACCAAUUGUGGGAUGAUAAGUUGAAGAAGUAUAUUGAUGACCUUAAAGACCCUGGCCUUAGUGGCAAGCCUUAUUCAGCUAGAUACAUUGGAAGCUUGGUUGGAGACUUUCACCGGACACUGCUAUAUGGUGGAAUCUACGGUUACCCUAGAGACAAAAAGAGCAAAAAUGGUAAGCUGAGACUCUUGUAUGAAUGUGCACCAAUGAGCUUUAUUGUGGAACAAGCUGGUGGGAAAGGAUCUGAUGGACAUCAAAGAAUCCUUGAU